UGCCAGCAGCCGCGGUAAUACGGAGGGGGCGAGCGUUAUUCGGAAUUAUUGGGCGUAAAGGGCGCGUAGGCGGCCUGACAAGUCAGGGGUGAAAUCCCUCGGCUCAACCGAGGAACUGCCUCUGAAACUGUCAGGCUUGAGGCCGGGAGAGGGUGGCGGAAUUCCCAGUGUAGCGGUGAAAUGCGUAGAUAUUGGGAGGAACACCAGUGGCGAAGGCGGCCACCUGGACCGGUUCUGACGCUGAGGCGCGAAAGUGUGGGGAGCAAACAGGAUUAGAUA
rnacentral:rRNA from 1 species